AAGAACACUGUUGCCUAAAAUAGCAACAUAUACUGUAGCAUUAAGCCAGGAAAACAAAGCCAGACCUAAAGUACACUAAGGUUUGUGGAUGGGGCUGACCCAGAACAGGACAAGAAGACCUUGAGGAGUAAGGCAUGGAUGUGGUACAGGAGCUCUGGUCCACCUUCCUUCAAGAUUUCAGCUGGGAUCCCAUCUGGACCGGUGGUCUUGUUGUUCUUAAGGCUUCUGAUGGCACUUUGGGAAUAUCCUGGCUAAUAUUUGACAUAUAGCUGUCUGUGAUAAUCCAAAAUUACUCAAAACAAGGUAUAAUUUCAUGUAAAUGAGGUCUAUUGACCAUAAAGAAAAGAAGUGUAAAACUUGUGGUAAUGAGUUGGAAUAAAGUUAGGUGUAAUACAGAA